rnacentral:rRNA from 1 species
UACGAACUGUGCGAACGUUAUUCGGAAUCACUGGGCUUACAGGGUGCGUAGGCGGCCUGUCAAGUAGGGUGUGAAAGCCCCCGGCUCAACCGGGGAAUGGCGCCCUAAACUGGCGGGCUGGAGUGAGAUAGGGGUGUGCGGAACUUCCGGUGGAGCGGUGAAAUGCGUAGAUAUCCGGAGGAACACCGAAGGCGAAGGCAGUGUCCUGGGGAGUACCUGACGCUCAGGUGCGAAAGCCAGGGGAGCGAACGGG